GAGCAAUUUACAAGGUUUCGAUAGCAGUUACACCGAACGCUUCUUGACUCGGGGCUCAGUUCCAACGAUUGACAUUGUUGAAACGUAGAAGAUGUCAUUGCCAUAGCGAUUGUACGAGAAGUAAAAUAAAGAGGCCGCCAACUUAUGGUAAAUAGGUAAAUAAUAUUUUGCAUUUGCAUAAAUAGACCUUAUGGAUUAAUACGUAGGCAUGCUCAUAAGGUCAAUUGAAAGGGCAUAGUUGUUUACAUACUCCACUAGGUGACUGGGGCAUAUUAUUUUAUCUUUCUGCACAACCAAUAUUUCAUUCAUAUCAUAUGCAGGUGUUCUUUGUUUUAAAGGUUGGUGGGGGGAUUGGUAUUAGAGGGAAAUGGGCAAUGGUGUUUUUGGUACAAUAUGGUUAACAAAUUGUCUACGUUUCAUAUAGAGUAUGUCAACUGCAAUACUGCAUAGGAGAAAUUAUGUUUACUGCAUGUUGAUAGCACAGCAUUGGAAGAGAUUGGCAAG